rnacentral:rRNA from 1 species
AUGGAACUGAAUCAAGAAAAGUGCAAGCCACUUAGGCCUCUCCUCAGAUUCGUCAACCUCAUCCUCCCAUAUGAGAUCAUCAAUCUCCUCACCCUGCAGGAACGGCAACUGGUUAAGAAGCUUGUCAAGGAAACCAUUAAAGGUUUUUCUGAGCUGAUAGUAACUGAUGGUGACAUGGUACACGAGGUUCGUCCUAAGGCUGAAUUCAACAAGGGGUUUGCAGUCAAGUAUAUACUCGAGCAGCUAGCCCGCAAAAACAAUUGGGACAGUUCUCAGGUGGUUGCUAUCUUCAUCGGUGAUGAUAAGACCGAUGAAGAUGCAUUCAAGGUGCUCCGUGGACGAGCUGGCGGACUGGGGAUCCUUGUCAGCAAGGAGCGCAAGUGGACCAAAGCGUCGUACUCGCUCGAAGACCCAGCUGAGGUGCAAAAGUUUCUUGAGAAGCUCGUGAGCUGGAAGAAGGCAGAGGCUGAAGUUUGA